AUUGAACGCUGGCGGCAUGCUUGACACAUGCAAGUCGAACGGUAACAGGCCGCAAGGUGCUGACGAGUGGCGAACGGGUGAGUAAUGCAUCGUAACGUGCCCAGUCGGGGGGGAUAACUACUCGAAAGAGUAGCUAAUACCGCAUACGAUCUAUGGAUGAAAGCGGGGGACCGUAAGGCCUCGCGCGAUUGGAGCGGCCGAUGUCAGAUUAGGUAGUUGGUGGGGUAAAGGCUCACCAAGCCAACGAUCUGUAGCUGGUCUGAGAGGACGACCAGCCACACUGGGACUGAGACACGGCCCAGACUCCUACGGGAGGCAGCAGUGGGGAAUUUUGGACAAUGGGCGCAAGCCUGAUCCGGCAAUGCCGCGUGCAGGAAGAAGGCUUUCGGGUUGUAAACUGCUUUUGUACGGAACGAAACGGCUCUGGUUAAUACCCGGGGCUAAUGACGGUACCGUAAGAAUAAGCACCGGCUAACUACGUG
rnacentral:rRNA from 1 species